rfam:Homo sapiens chromosome 2, GRCh38 reference primary assembly.
GCCAGGUGCAGUGGCAUGCACCUGUAGUCCCAGCUACUUGGGAGGCUGAGGUAGGAGGACUGCUUGAGUCCAGGAGUUCUAGGCUGCAGUGAGCUAUGAUCACACUGCGCUCCAGCAUGGACAACAGAGUGAGACCCCAUCUCUU